rnacentral:rRNA from 1 species
GGAGAGAACCCUGGUUAAGGAACUCGCAAAUUGACACCGUAACUUCGGGAGAAGGUGUGCCGCUGGCGGUUAGUGACUUCGCGUCACGAAGCUGUCGGUGGUCGCAGUGAAAUGGCGGUUGUGACUGUUUACUAAAAACACAGGACUCUGCGAAGUCGUAAGACGACGUAUAGGGUCUGAUGCCUGCCCGGUGCUGGAAGGUUAAGGGGAUAUGUCAGCGCAAGCGAAGCAUUGAACCGAAGCCCCAGUAAACGGCGGCCGUAACGAUAACGGUCCUAAGGUAGCGAAGUUCCUUGUCGGGUAAGUUCCGACCUGCACGAAGGGCAUAACAACAUCCGCACUGUCUCGACCAGGGACUCAGCGAAAUUACAUUGGGGGUGAAGAUGCCCUCUACCCGCGGAAAGACGGAAAGACCCCAUGAACCUUUACUGCAACUUGGCAGUGAUUUUCGGGUUGUUCUGCGUAGGAUAGGUGGGAGGCUUUGAAGCCGGGCUUCCGGGUUCGGCAGAGCCAACGUUGAAAUACCACCCUGAAUAAUCUGGAAAUCUAACCUGCGCCCAUGAUCUGGGCGAGGGACACUGCCUGGUGGGCAGUUUGACUGGGGCGGUCGCCUCCUAAAUUGUAACGGAGGCGUGCGACGGUUCCCUCAGGCUGAUUGGAAACCAGCCGUAGAGUGCAAACGCAUAAGGGAGCUUUACUGCGAGACUGACAAGUCGAACAGUUGCGAAAGCAGGUGUUAGUGAUCCGGUGGUACCACAUGGAAGGGCCAUCGCUCAUCGGAUAAAAGGUACUCUGGGGAUAACAGGCUGAUCGCGCCUGAGAGUUCACAUCGGCGGCGCGGUUUGGCACCUCGAUGUCGGCUCAUCGCAUCCUGGGGCUGGAGCAGGUCCCAAGGGUUUGGCUGUUCGCCAAUUAAAGCGGUACGCGAGCUGGGUUUAAAACGUCGUGAGACAGUUUGGUCCCUAUCUUCCGUGGGCGCAGGACACUUGAGAGGAGCUAUCCAUAGUACGAGAGGACCUGGAUGGACGAACCUCUGGUGCUCCGGUUGUCACGCCAGUGGCAUAGCCGGGUAGCCAUGUUCGGAACAGAUAACCGCUGAAGGCAUAUAAGCGGGAAGCUGGCCUCAAGACUAGGUGUCCCUGACGCAAGUCACUAAAGGCCCCUCGAAGACUACGAGGUUGAUAGGCUCGGUGUGGAAGCGCUGCGAGGCGUGGAGCUAACGAGUACUAAUAGGCCGUGCGACUUGACCUC